UUUCGCAAUGCCCGAAAGGGUGACGAAGCGACGCCGCGUGUGGGAAGAAGGCCUUCGGGUUGUAAACCACUGUCGGGAGUUAAGAAAGGUGUACGGGUAAAUAGUCCGUGCAUUUGACAAAAGCUCCGGAGGAAGCCACGGCUAACUCUGUGCCAGCAGCCGCGGUAAUACAGAGGUGGCAAGCGUUGUUCGGAAUUAUUGGGCGUAAAGAGCACGUAGACGGCCCUGCAAGUCAGCUGUGAAAGCCUCCUGCUUAACGGGAGAAGUGCAGUCGAAACUACGGGGCUAGAGUGCGGAAGGGGAGAGUGGAACUUCUGGUGGAGCGGUGAAAUGCGUAGAUAUCAGAAGGAACACCGGCGGCGAAAGCGGCUCUCUGGUCCGUAACUGACGCUGAGGUGCGAAAGCCAGGGGAGCAAACGGGAUUAGAUACCCCGGUAGUCCUGGCCGUAAACGAUGGGCACUAAGUAGAGGGGUUUU
rnacentral:rRNA from 1 species